rfam:Rhizobium sp. AC27/96 AS1I6_16, whole genome shotgun sequence.
AGAGAGGCUUCCGCGGUUUGCCGUUUGGGGGCCUUUUUCUUUUGC